AACAUAAAUAGCUGCAGAAUUAUCUGUACUAAGGUAGCAUAAUCAUUAGCUUUCUAAUUAAAAGAUAGAAUGAAAGGUUAAACGAAAUAUUUACUGUCUCUAACAUCAACUACGAAAUUAAAAUAAAAGUAAAAAUUCUUUUAAACAUAAGAAGGACGACAAGACCCUGAUAAACUUUAGCAUUUUGCUGGGGCGGCAACACAAAAAAACCUUAUAUUCCAACAAUAAAAACAAUACUAAUAAUAAAUAAUAAAGAUAUAGUUACUACAGGGAUAACAGCGCAAUCUUUUUUAAAAGAACAUAUUCAAAAAAAGCUUUACGACCUCGAUGUUGAAUUAAUUUCAUCUAUUAAGAGCAAAAUCCUUAACAAGAAGGUC
rnacentral:rRNA from 1 species